CCGUCAAAGUGGUGUGUGUUAUG
rnacentral:miRNA from 14 species